GCGUGUGCGUGACCAGCGCAGGAGGCUUCAUCGCCUCGUGGCUCAUCAAGCUCCUCCUCUCCAAGGGCCACUAAAUGGUCCGCGGAUCCGUCCAUCCCAGCCCCUCGAAGAUCCAACCUCAGCUCAUGCUCGCGCUGCUCCCACCCCACGACGCCGUCUGCGUCGAACUGAAAGCCCACGGAGGACGGGGACGAGGUCAGGGUGGAGAUGUGGAUCAUUUUCUUUGGAUCCCCAACUGAAGAGUUUGAAGGAGUUUCUGCAGAGCACCUAGAUGUCAAUGAAUGUGCGUAGAGUCCAGGCCCCUGCCAUGGCUCUGCAACUUGCCACAACACAGUUGGAGGGUUCCAUUGUUCAUGCCCUUUUGUCACCAGUUUUGCUAAGGAAACAAACUCCUGCGCCAAUCAGUUUAUAAGUCAGGAGUUGAGCAGGGCACAAUCUGUGGCAGGACCGCAUUCUCCCACUCCUUUGUCUCAAAGCAAAAGAAGCUCGCUGCCUUUGCCUGGAGAGAGCAGAAGUUUCUUUUAUCUAAUCCAAGAUGAUCUAUUCAUGAUUAAAACAGUGAGGAAAUCAGAAGUCGAGUUCUACUAAUUGAAGCCGGUGAGUUGGUGUAUGCUUGACGUGAGUCUGGUUCUCGCUUCAAUUCCCCCUGUUUCACCUCCAGAUCUACUCAUCGGGAGAUGGAUUCCUUGCAGUGAGAGGCUGGUCUGACGCUGUUGUUGAUAAUCAUCCAUACCUAUUCUGGACAUGGACGAAGUACACACAUGUACACACAGCUUUUUUUGAUCCGUUGCAUAUCAAAGCUUCAUUCAGACGAUGGACUGUCUUGCUCUACUUCGAAAUCAAAACAGGUGAGUCGUGUCCUUUUUAGGAUUUAACCAACUGAACUGAAACCAAGAUACAGUUGCUGCAGCACUAUUGAGCAAAUUGUACAGGGGAAAGACAGGCGGCUGAUGCAGAACAAGGGAAGGAGUAGCAGCUAUCUGCUGUUUCAGUUGUUUAUGUGCGCUGAAGAUUGUUCAUACCCGUACCCUGAAGAAAGAAGGCAAAAUAAUCCAUAACUAUUUCUUGAUAAUAAAGUACAUAGACAUAGAUAUAUAGCUCAAUGGCUCCAUCACGUUAGUUUGCUAAAUAAGUUAUAUGGAUCC